rnacentral:rRNA from 1 species
AACGAACGCUGGCGGCAUGCCUAACACAUGCAAGUCGAACGAGACCUUCGGGUCUAGUGGCGCACGGGUGCGUAACGCGUGGGAACCUGCCUUUAGGUUCGGAAUAACUCAGAGAAAUUUGAGCUAAUACCGAAUGAUGUCUUCGGACCAAAGUUUUAUCGCCUUUAGAUGGGCCCGCGUUGGAUUAGCUAGUUGGUGGGGUAAAGGCCUACCAAGGCGACGAUCCAUAGCUGGUCUGAGAGGAUGAUCAGCCACACUGGGACUGAGACACGGCCCAGACUCCUACGGGAGGCAGCAGUGGGGAAUAUUGGACAAUGGGCGAAAGCCUGAUCCAGCAAUGCCGCGUGAGUGAUGAAGGCCUUAGGGUUGUAAAGCUCUUUUACCCGAGAUGAUAAUGACAGUAGCGGGAGAAUAAGCUCCGGCUAACUCCGUG